GGGAAGCAGUUGUGCCAAAACAAACAGUGCGAGAUGUGAGCCGGGGGCAGGAGGUCAGGAGGGCUGAGGGCAGCGUCACCCCCAGGAGAUCAGCGCCUGGAGCUGUGUUCUGCAGGUGCAGAUGCUCCCCAGUGGAACUGCCCACCAGCAUGGCACUAGAGCCAGCAGCAGAGCAAGGAGGUGUGGAAGGGCAGCCUAAGCCUUUCCAUCUAAUCACAAAUUGCUCUCACUCUGCAGAGCAUGCAACAUCAGGCCCUUGUACUGUUGUGCUUCUACUUUAGCGCUUUCCUUCUAUAUAUUAAGAAGACAGAUAUAAUGAAGCAUCUAAACCCCAGAACUAUCAUCUUAAUAACACUGUUAGGUGUCUUCCAAUGGUAAAUAUAUCAGCAGAGCAUACCUUAAGUAGCAUUAAAUUCUGCUUUUAUUGUCUUAGCUUUUGCUACUAAAUGUGAUUCAGAGCUGGUGGCUGGAAGACAGCAGAAGUAAAAGCUAACUUUACUUUUCAGUCUCCUCAUUCAAGCAGUUUUUUCAGGAUUCUCUACAGUGCAAAGUCCUGUUAGAUCAGGUUUAUCUGAUUUGUUUGAUUUAUCAUCUGUGCUUCCUUCAGAAUAGUGUUUCUGGGGCUAUAUGACAGUGACAAACCCCCUUUGACCUUUGGCAUGCUGGAAGGGUCUGGAGACAAGACCUGAACCAAUAGAAAUUCUGUGAUGUAUCUGUGAAGUCCAACCCUUUUGAUUCUUGAGCCUGCUCUUUUGUACUGGUGCAUUUGAAAUUCAAAUGGAGUUGUAUCAGGAAGACAUCUUGGAAUUGCCACUAACCAGGACCAGUAGGGAAUCCUGACUUGCUGUCAGCAGGAGGUUCUCAUUCAGUCCCCCAGAACUGAUCCGUGCUCCCUCAUCCAGUGCUGUGAGAGUUUUUCAUCAAUAUGCAGGUGGCAGCAGAGGAGCAAUCUGACAAAAUGGCAUCUGACAGUGGAAUUGCUUAUGGAGAAAAGGUGUGUUGUUGAAAUCUUUCAUGUGGAAAAAGUGGCACCCAUUGACAUUCACUGAUACUUGCUGAACGUUUCUGGAGACCAAACAGUGGCUGUGAGCACAGUGAGGGGAUGAGAAGGUGAAGGGAAAUCCUUAAGACCACUCUUCAAGUGGAGGAAGCAGGAUAGAAGACUCAUAAUCAUGUCCUAACAGCGCUUCCAUGACUGAGAGAUAAUGGACACAUCUGCAUCAUGAUCAAAAGUAUAGUGUGAGCCUAUCUGAGCUUACUUCAGAAAUUCAGGCUUGACCUCUGAGGGUUUAUGCUAAUGUAUUUGGUGUUCAUUCAGUAUCUAGCAUAGUGGUCCAUGAUCCAUCACUGUGCUCCCAAGGUGCUCCUGCAAGACAGAUUUCAGCCACCGUUCCCUUUGUAUAGGUACCUUUACCUGUGAAUCUGAAGAGAAUGCUGUGUGGACUGUGAAUUCCUGUCAGAAGACACGGUAAGUAUUUGGACAGCUAAUUCAUGCAGGUCCCUGAGCUACCACUGCUAGUAUUAAGCUCACUAGUUAAAGCCGCUUUAGAUGAAUGCAGCUACAGCAGAAGCUGAAUGAUAAAUAUUCCCAAAUGUAACCAAACAAACUGGCAAACUCUGAAUAAAUAUAUGAAAUACAUCGUAGUAGUCACAAACUCUGCUUGUUACUCUCAAGAGGAAUAAAUUUUGUUUAGGGCCACAAACCAGGCCCUCUUUUACAGCAUUUUGGAUUUUAUGCUACCUUACAAGCGCAAAAGGACAAUAAAGCAAUGGUAAAUAUUCAAAAAUUACUUUACCGUGGACUG
ensembl:lncRNA